rnacentral:lncRNA from 1 species
AUAAAAAAUGUCUUAAAUAAUUGGGAUCCUGAUACCAACCGCGCAUCGAGCCCGGGUAUGAAUACUUGUCUGAUUAAUUGGAAAGAUAAAUUCAUAAAUUUCUAGUCUGAUCAAUGGGUGGAAGAUGCCAAAUUGAAGGAUUUAUUUCCUGUUUUAUAUUCACUUAGAGUGGGAAAAAAGAUCGUGUGAGGCUAUAGCCAUGUAGAUCUUGAAUGGAAGUUACUCUUUAGAAGGAAGGUUAAUGACUGGGAGAUGGAUGAAAUCUGUGACUUAUUAAAUCUAUUAAAGCCAUAUAAUCGGAUGAAAACAAUUAGGAUGGAUUCUCUGUGAACAGCUACUACAAGGUGUUUCAGAAUCAAGCUGAUAACCGGGAAGUUGUUUGUCCAUGGAAAAUGAUUUGGAAACAAAAGCUCCUGCAAAGUUUGCCUAACACAAGAUGCUCUUACGGAAUUGAUUGUCAAGAUUUUAGUAGGUUAUAUAAAUAUAUAAAUAUAUAUAUAUAUAUAUAUGUAUUCCAUUUGAAAGUUUUGGGAUCCGACAAACCCGUAGCCAAAAGACUACAUCCAUCUAUGUAUACUUUACAGAGGGAAACUUCAACAUGUUGCAGAUAUUCCUUUGUUCUUUGUGUUCUUUUGCAGUACCUUCUUGGUGCUAGGUUUAGUAAAAUUAUUUACCUUUUCCU